rnacentral:rRNA from 1 species
GGUGAACGCUAGCUACAGGCUUAACACAUGCAAGUCGAGGGGUAACGAGAGGAAAGCUUGCUUUCCUUGUCGACGACCGGCGCACGGGUGAGUAACGCGUAUCCAACCUGCCCCCAACUAAGGAAUAACCUUGCGAAAGUAAGACUAAUACAUUAUAACUUCCUCAGAUGUCAUCUGACGAGGAAUAAAGAUUUAUCGGUUGUGGAUGGGGAUGUCGUCUGAUUAGCUUGUUGGCGGGGUAACGACCCACCAAGGCAACGAUCAGUAGGGGUUCUGAGAGGAAGGUCCGCCACAGUAGAACUGUGACACAGUCCAAACCCCUACGGUAGGAGUCAGUGAGGAAUAUUGGUCAAUGGGCGAAAGCCUAAAACAGCCAAGUAGCGUGCAGGAUGACGGCCCUAUGGGUUGUAAACUGCUUUUAUACAGGAAUAAAGUUAGCCACGUGUAGUUAUUUGUAGGUACUGUAUGAAUAAGGACCGGCUAAUUCCGUGCCAGCAGCCGCGGUAA